GUCAAAGGCCUUACUGAAUUCCAGGCAGACCACAUCCACAGCCUUUCCCUCACCCACUAGUCGGGUCACCUGGUCACAGAAGGAGAUCAGGUUGGUCAAGCAGGACCUGCCUCUCAUGAACCCGUGCUGGCUGGCCCUGAUC